CUUUCGGAGCUGUGCGGCAUUCUGAGCAGGAAUGGCAGUGUGGACCUCUGUGAUGGGACAUCUUGUGGGAUCUCACAGCCAGUUCUGUGGCAAAGGAGGAUGAAGGCUUACGAGGACUCGUCAGGAAGCUGGAUAACAGAGCGAGCGCAAUGUGCUAGAAUAGAAGACCAGAAAAUGAAAUGGUGGAGUUUGAGGCUGGAUAGACAGUUUGAAAGGUACAAAUAAUGGUUUGAAUAAAGAAAGGUAUUAAUGGGUCACCUCAAGUGAAGGCACUGCAAACACAAUGAUUGGUCAUUCUGAAUUUCCGGUCCUUCAUUCUGAAUUUCAAAGUGCCUGGAUGGAGGCUCAAAUAGAAGAUGGUGUCAGAUAUAUUGUGUUAAAAUUUUACCAUUAAAGUGUAUUAUAACAUGAA
rnacentral:lncRNA from 1 species